GGCGAGGUAGCUCAAUCGGCAGAGCAACGGACUCAUAAGCCGUGGGUUGUGGGUUCAAGUCCCACCCUCGCCACCA
rnacentral:tRNA from 1 species